UCACUUGUUCUUUAAAUGGGGACUAGUAUCAACGGCAUCACGAGGGUCCCACUGUCUCCCCCCUCCAAUCAGUGAAACUGAUCUCCCCGUGAAGAAGCGGGGAUAAGUAUAUUAGACGAGAAGACCCCAUGGAGCUUUAAACCCGACAGCACCCACUUAUUUAACACCUUCUUAUCCGCCUGGCCCCUGUCUGCUCGGUUUUGGGUUGGGGUGACCGCGGAGCAUAAAAUAGCCUCCACGAAAGAAGGGAUGAUUCCCUCAUUUUAGAACUACACUUCCAAAGACUAACAAAUUAAUUUUAAGUGAUCCGAUACCCGUAUUCGAUCAACGAACCAAGUUACCCUGGGGAUAACAGCGCAAUCUACCUCAAGAGCCCC
rnacentral:rRNA from 1 species